GAUGAACGCUGGCGGCGUGCCUAAUACAUGCAAGUCGAGCGAACAGACGAGGAGCUUGCUCCUCUGACGUUAGCGGCGGACGGGUGAGUAACACGUGGAUAACCUACCUAUAAGACUGGGAUAACUUCGGGAAACCGGAGCUAAUACCGGAUAAUAUAUUGAACCGCAUGGUUCAAUAGUGAAAGACGGUUUUGCUGUCACUUAUAGAUGGAUCCGCGCCGCAUUAGCUAGUUGGUAAGGUAACGGCUUACCAAGGCAACCAUGCGUAGCCGACCUGAGAGGAGGAGCGGUCACACUGGGACUGGGAAACGGGCCAGAAUCCUAAGGGAGGCAGGAGGGGGGAAUAUUGGACAAUGGGCGAAAGCCUGAACGAGCCAUGCCGCGUGGGUGAAGAAGGUUUUCGGAUUGGAAAAAACUUUUAUUUGGGGAAAAAAAAAGUAAGAAAAUACCUUGCCGGUUUGACGUGACCAAAAGAAAAAGCCCGGGGUAAAUUCGUG
rnacentral:rRNA from 1 species